GACGAACGCUGGCGGCGUGCCUAAUACAUGCAAGUUGAGCGCUGAAGGUUGGUACUUGUACCAACUGGAUGAGCAGCGAACGGGUGAGUAACGCGUGGGGAAUCUGCCUUUGAGCGGGGGACAACAUUUGGAAACGAAUGCUAAUACCGCAUAAAAACUUUAAACACAAGUUUUAAGUUUGAAAGAUGCAAUUGCAUCACUCAAAGAUGAUCCCGCGUUGUAUUAGCUAGUUGGUGAGGUAAAGGCUCACCAAGGCGAUGAUACAUAGCCGACCUGAGAGGGUGAUCGGCCACAUUGGGACUGGGACACGGCCCAAACUCCUACGGGAGGCAGCAGUAGGGAAUCUUCGGCAAUGGACGAGAGUCUGACCGAGCAACGCCGCGUGAGUGAAGAAGGUUUUCGGAUCGUAAAACUCUGUUGGUAGAGAAGAACGUUGGUGAGAGUGGAAAGCUCAUCAAGUGACGGUAACUACCCAGAAAGGGACGGCUAACUACGUG
rnacentral:rRNA from 1 species